GGUAAAGGAGUUGURUUUGUCAAUGGGCAGAACCUUGGCCGUUACUGGAUCAUUGGCCCACAGCAUUUCCUUUAUCUCCCAGGCCCUUGGCUCAGAUGUGGAGAGAAUCAGAUUAUUGUUUUUGAGGAGCAAAAAGUGGAUGAAAAAAUACUGUUUGGGGAAAAUCCCGAUCAUGGAAAAACCAUUGAUGUGUACAAACUUCCCUUCUGCACACUGCUGUAAAAAAGAAAAAGGAAAAUGACAAAAAAAGCUGUUUUUGUAAUAACAUUUGCAACAAAUUACUGCAAUGCAUUAGUGUAGUUAUUAAAAUGUAAUUAAUAAAUGWAGGCAUCGGUUUUUCAUAAGCUUAUUAGUAAACUAAACGUGUUUGUUAAUUUUUCACAAAUUUGAAAAUCGUAAAAGCCUAAGCAAUCUUCUGUUAUCAUUUCAGUAUGAACUUUGCUCUGGUUAGAUAUGAUCUGAUUUGACAGUGAGAAACUUUAACAAGCGUAUCAUUGGACUAAA